AUGAAUAAUGUUUCUGCUGUGCUAUUCCGACCUAGUCUCGUUCUUUUGGCGGCAGCGGAUCUGGACAAAAGGACCCACUUGCGGGUCACCGGUCCUUUAGGGCUGGGUAACAGAGAACAUGAGUAUCUGUUCAGUGUCACAGCUCCAGUUUCAGGACGUGGCUUUUCCUAUGCCUUCGGCUUCAUCAGGGGCCCUGUGACCAGAACGCAGCACUUCUUCUCCAUCAUCUUAAGCCAGGAGUGGAUUAAGCUGGAGACCCUGACUUGGAGUGGCCUGUCUCAAUGCUUUCUCCAUCACCAACACCAUCCAGUAUCACAUCUUUCACUUACUGUCCAGUGCUUCAGAAGGGCUUCGAAAUGCACUAAAUGCUCUUCUACAUAACUCCAAAUAGGUUAUUAUGUUGUGAGCUCAUUUGAGUUAUGAUUCCCAAUUCCAUUUAAAGACAAUAACUUAUUGACUCAGCAUUAACCCAGCAUUUCAGUUUAUCCACGGUUACCUUAUAACCAGGGAUAAUGAGUCACUGCCUGUUAUGGACUGAAUGUUUGUGUACCCCCAAAAUUCGUAUGUUGAAAUCCUAACCCCCAAUGGGAUGGUAUUUGGGAGGUAAUUAGGGUGAGAUUCAGUCACUAAGGGUCCUCAUGAUGGGAUUAGUGACCUUAUAAGAAGAAGAGGAGACACGAGACCUCUCUCCACGCUCUCCACAUGUGAGAAUACAAUGAGAGGAUUGCUGUCUGCAAAUCAGGAAGUGAGAUCUCACCAGACACUGGAUCUGCUGGCACCUUGAUCUUGGACUUCCCAGCCUCCAGAACUAUGAGAAACAAAUGUCUGUUGUUUAAGCCAUCCAGUCUGUGAUAGUUUGUUAUAAAAGCUCGAGAUGACUAAGACACUGCUCUUGCUCAGUUUCAGCAAGGCUUCCACCUUCUACCCAAAUUUAACCAUACCUCUCCUCUUCAUUGGUCUCUCCUUGGUUCACUGAUCGAUGUCCCAAAUUUUUACUUUGAAUUUUUUCCUGGCAUCUUGAGUCUAUUUCAAAAACUGAUGUUUUUUUAUUUUCUACUGGUCCUCUCUGAUGGCAGUUGCCUGUCUUCUGGUACUUCUUUGGAUUUCCUCAUUAUCAGAUAUUGCCCAAUCUACUAACCCGCCCCUGUGGGCAGGUAUCCUCAUCUCUGGGCCUCAGCUAUAGCUGUCUCAUCUACAUCUCUAUUAAUUAAGCACCAAUUAUGUGAAAUAACUGACAAGCUGAGCUAUUGAAAUAUUCGGCAUUAAGCGUGCCUAAUGUCAACCUUAGAUGGAUGAUCCUCACACUGCCUAGAAUUGGGAUUUUAUCUAAAAUAUCUAUUUCCCAUAAAUCAUGAUAUAAAACAAAUACGCAGUGCUCUGC
rnacentral:lncRNA from 1 species